rnacentral:rRNA from 1 species
UUGUUAAGUCUGGAGUUAAAGACUGGGGCUCAACCCCAGCCCGCUCUGGAUACUGGCUGACUAGAGUUACAUAGAGGUAAGUGGAAUUCUUAGUGGAGCGGUGGAAUGCGUAGAUAUUAGGAAGAACACCAAUGGCGAAGGCAGCUUACUAGAUGUACACUGACGCUCAGGGACGAAAGCGUGGGGAGCAAACAGGAUUAGAUACCCCGGUAGUCCACGCCGUAAACGAUGAUCAUUAGCCGCUAGAAUAUUUAGUGGCGCAGCUAACGCAUUAAAUGAUCCGCCUGAGUAGUAUGCUCGCAAGAGUGAAACUUAAAGGAAUUGACGGGGACCCGCACAAGCGGUGGAGCAUGUGGUUUAAUUUGAAGAUACGCGUAGAACCUUACCCACUCUUGACAUCUUCCGCAAUACUAUGGAGACAUAGUGGAGGUUAACGGAAUGACAGAUGGUGCAUGGUUGUCGUCAGCUCGUGCCGUGAGGUGUUAGGUUAAGUCCUGCAACGAGCGCAACCCCUGUCUUUAGUUACUAACGGAUAAUGCCGAGGACUCUAGAGAGACUGACUGGGUAACCAGUAGGAAGGUGGGGACGACGUCAAAUCAUCAUGCCUCUUACGAGUGGGGCAACACACGUGCUACAAUGGACGGUACAAAGAGAAGCAAUAUGGUGACAUGGAGCAAACCUCAAAAAACCGUUCUCAGUUCGGAUUGAAGUCUGAAACUCGACUUCAUGAAGUUGGAAUCGCUAGUAAUCGUAGAUCAGCUACGCUACGGUGAAUACGUUCUCGGGUCUUGUACACACCGCCCGUC